AGUGAACGCUGGCGGUAGGCCUAACACAUGCAAGUCGAACGGCAGCACAGUAAGAGCUUGCUCUUACGGGUGGCGAGUGGCGGACGGGUGAGGAAUACAUCGGAAUCUACUUUUUCGUGGGGGAUAACGUAGGGAAACUUACGCUAAUACCGCAUACGACCUACGGGUGAAAGCAGGGGAUCUUCGGACCUUGCGCGAUUGAAUGAGCCGAUGUCGGAUUAGCUAGUUGGCGGGGUAAAGGCCCACCAAGGCGACGAUCCGUAGCUGGUCUGAUAGGAUGAUCACCCACAGUGUAACGGAGACACGGUCGAGACUCCCACGGGGGGCGGCAGAGGGGAAUUGUGCACAAGGGGCGCAGGCCUGACCCAGCCAUACGGGGUGGGGGAAGAAGGCCUUCGGGUUGUAAAGCCCUUUUGUGGAAAAAAAAAAGCAGAAGGUUAAACCCCCGCUGUCCGGAGGUUACCCAAAAAAUAAGCCCCGGCUAACUUCGUG
rnacentral:rRNA from 1 species